rnacentral:rRNA from 1 species
UGGCCAGACUCCUACGGGAGGCAGCAGUGAGGAAUAUUGGUCAAUGGUCGGGAGACUGAACCAGCCAAGUCGCGUGAGGGAAGACUGCCCUAUGGGUUGUAAACCUCUUUUGUCAGGGAGCAACGCCGGCUACGUGUAGCCGGACUGAGAGUACCCGAAGAAAAAGCAUCGGCUAACUCCGUGCCAGCAGCCGCGGUAAUACGGAGGAUGCGAGCGUUAUCCGGAUUUAUUGGGUUUAAAGGGUGCGCAGGCGGAGGUGCAAGUCAGCGGUCAAAUUGCGGGGCUCAACCCCGUACUGCCGUUGAAACUGCAUCCCUUGAGUGCGCGAGAAGUAUGCGGAAUGCGUGGUGUAGCGGUGAAAUGCAUAGAUAUCGCGCAGAACUCCGAUUGCGAAGGCAGCAUGCCGGCGCCACACUGACGCUGAGGCACGAAAGCGUGGGUAUCGAACAGGAUUAGAUACCCCCGUAGC